rnacentral:rRNA from 1 species
CCUACGGGAGGCAGCAGUGGGGGAUAUUGCACAAUGGGGGGAACCCUGAUGCAGCGACGCCGCGUGGGUGAAGAAGCGCCUCGGCGCGUAAAGCCCUGUCAGCAGGGAAGAAAAUGACGGUACCUGAAGAAGAAGCCCCGGCUAACUACGUGCCAGCAGCCGCGGUAAUACGUAGGGGGCAAGCGUUAUCCGGAUUUACUGGGUGUAAAGGGGGCGCAGACGGCGAUGCAAGCCAGGAGUGAAAGCCCGGGGCCCAACCCCGGGACUGCUCUUGGAACUGCGUGGCUGGAGUGCAGGAGGGGCAGGGGGAAUUCCUGGUGUAGCGGUGAAAUGCGUAGAUAUCAGGAGGAACACCGGCGGCGAAGGCGGCCUGCUGGACCGCGACUGACGUUGAGGCUCGAAAGCGUGGGGAGCGAACAGGAUUAGAUACCCUGGUAGUC